UCCUACGGGAGGCAGCAGUGGGGAAUUUUUGGACAAUGGGCGAAAGCCUGAUCCAGCAAUGCCGCGUGUGUGAAGAAGGCCUUCGGGUUGUAAAGCACUUUUGUCCGGAAAGAAAUCCUUGGCUCUAAUACAGUCGGGGGAUGACGGUACCGGAAGAAUAAGCACCGGCUAACUACGUGCCAGCAGCCGCGGUAAUACGUAGGGUGCGAGCGUUAAUCGGAAUUACUGGGCGUAAAGCGUGCGCAGGCGGUUUGCUAAGACCGAUGUGAAAUCCCCGGGCUCAACCUGGGAACUGCAUUGGUGACUGGCAGGCUAGAGUAUGGCAGAGGGGGGUAGAAUUCCACGUGUAGCAGUGAAAUGCGUAGAGAUGUGGAGGAAUACCGAUGGCGAAGGCAGCCCCCUGGGCCAAUACUGACGCUCAUGCACGAAAGCGUGGGGAGCAAACAGGAUUAGAUACCCUGGUAGUCCACGCCCUGAACGAUGUCAACUAGUUGUUGGGGAUUCAUUUCCUUAGUAACGUAGCUAACGCGUGAAGUUGACCGCCUGGGGAGUACGGUCGCAAGAUUAAAACUCAAAGGAAUUGACGGGGACCCGCACAAGCGGUGGAUGAUGUGGAUUAAUUCGAUGCAACGCGAAAAACCUUACCUACCCUUGGCAUGGUCGGAAUCCCGCUGAGAGGUGGGAGUGCUCGAAAGAGAACCGGCGCACAGGUGCUGCAUGUCUGUCGUCAGCUCGUGUCGUGAGAUGUUGGGUUAAGUCCCGCAACGAGCGCAACCCUUGUCCUUAGUUGCUACGCAAGAGCACUCUAAGGAGACUGCCGGUGACAAACCGGAGGAAGGUGGGGAUGACGUCAAGUCCUCAUGGCCCUUAUGGGUAGGGCUUCACACGUCAUACAAUGGUCGGAACAGAGGGUUGCCAACCCGCGAGGGGGAGCUAAUCCCAGAAAACCGAUCGUAGUCCGGAUUGCACUCUGCAACUCGAGUGCAUGAAGCUAGAAUCGCUAGUAAUCGCGGAUCAGCA
rnacentral:rRNA from 1 species